CAGCCGCCACGGUAAAACGGAGGGUGCAAGCGUUAAUCGGAAUUACUGGGCGUAAAGCGCACGCAGGCGGUCUGUCAAGUCGGAUGUGAAAUCCCCGGGCUCAACCUGGGAACUGCAUUCGAAACUGGCAGGCUAGAGUCUUGUAGAGGGGGGUAGAAUUCCAGGUGUAGCGGUGAAAUGCGUAGAGAUCUGGAGGAAUACCGGUGGCGAAGGCGGCCCCCUGGACAAAGACUGACGCUCAGGUGCGAAAGCGUGGGGAGCAAACAGGAUUAGAUACCCCUGUAGUCCCUGUCUCUUAUAC
rnacentral:rRNA from 1 species